rnacentral:rRNA from 1 species
AACGAACGCUGGCGGCAGGCUUAAACACAUGCAAGUCGAACGCACCUUCGGGUGAGUGGCAGCGGGUGAGUAACGCGUGGGAAACCUUCCCUGUGGUACGGAUAGCUCCGGGAAACUGGAAUUAAUACCGUAUACGCCCUUUUGGGGAAAGAUUUAUCGCCAUAGGAUGGGCCCGCGUCGGAUUAGCUUGUUGGUAGGGUAAUGGCCUACCAAGGCAACGAUCCGUAGCUGGUCUUAGAGGAUGAUCAGCCACACUGGGACUGAGACACGGCCCAGACUCCUACGGGAGGCAGCAGUGGGGAAUAUUGGACAAUGGGCGAAAGCCUGAUCCAGCCAUGCCGCGUGAGUGACGAAGGCCUUAGGGUUGUAAAACUCUUUUGGCGGGGACGAUAAUGACGGUACCCGCAGAAUAAGCCCCGGCUAACUUCGUG